CGACAAGACAAUAUGUGAGCGUAGUUCCAAGUCCUAAAUGGCUGUCAAAGUGUCCCAACUUGUCGGAUUAUAUCCUCAACCAUCUACUUUUCAGUCUGAACACCACACCAGUCCCCCUUUGACGGGAGGGACGGAGCACCUGUAACUGAGGCGUGCAUCUCAUCCUUUCCCUCGGAUGUAAACAAAUCUACCUGUCUGCAGAAAGGCAGGGUACCAACACCGCAUGACUCUGACGCUGUUACUUUAGGACACAGUUAUUACCUGUUUCUAAAUUAGACGGCAUCUGCAGUCAGAUUAUUUUCACCUCAGGAAGAGAGGA